CACGUAGGGCGCAAGCGUUGUCCGGAAUUAUUGGGCGUAAAGAGCUCGUAGGCGGUCUGUUACGUCUGCUGUGAAAACCCGGGGCGUUAACCCCUGGGCUUGCAGUGGAUACGGGCAGACUAGAGGCAGGUAGGGGAGAAUGGAAUUCCCGGUGUAGCGGUGAAAUGCGCAGAUAUCGGGAGGAACACCGGUGGCGAAGGCGGUUCUCUGGGACGGUACUGACGCUGAGACGCGAAAGCGUGGGGAGCGAACAGG
rnacentral:rRNA from 1 species